AGGAGGAGAAAAAGAGAGCCAACUUCUAGAAAGACUGCUACGUCAGAGAAACCUGCCAUCCCUAAAGUGCAUUCUUCAGGGACUCCUUCAACAUCAAGGACACCCUCUAUGAG